GGGGAAUAUUGCACAAUGGGCGGAAGCCUGAUGCAGCAACGCCGCGUGCGGGAUGACGGCCUUCGGGAUGUAAACUCAUGAAGCUAACGAAUAAGACGGAAGGGGAACCUUCCGGGAGAAGGUAAUUAGUGAAAAGCCCCGGCUAACUACGUGCCAGCAGCCGCGGUAAUACGUAGGGGGCGAGCGUUGCCCGGAAUUACUGGGCGUAAAGGGAACGUAGGUGGCUCUUAAAGUCAGGUGUGAAAAUAACGAAGCUUAACAGGUUAAUGCGCUUGAAACUAAAGGGCUUGAGGGCAAUAGAGGGAGAUGGAAUUACCUGUGUAGGGGUGAAAUCCGCAGAUAUAGGUAAGAAGGCCGGUGGGGAAGCCGAUCUCCUGGGUUGACUCUGACACUGAGGUUCGAAAGCUAGGGGAGCAAACC
rnacentral:rRNA from 1 species